GGCUUGUUAGCUCAGUUGGUAGAGCACUGCAUGGAUAUUACAGAGGUCAUGGGUUCAAAUCCCGUCCAGGCCU